rnacentral:rRNA from 1 species
UACGUAGGGUGCAAGCGUUAUCCGGAUUUACUGGGUUUAAAGGGUGCGUAGGCGGUUUAUUAAGUCAGUGGUGAAAGCCGGCGGCUCAACUGUCGAAUUGCCAUUGAUACUGAUGAACUUGAGUUCAGACGAGGUAAGCAGAAUUUGUGGUGUAGCGGUGAAAUGCAUAGAUACCACAAGGAAUACCGAUUGCGAAGGCAGCUUACUAGGGUGAAACUGACGCUGAUGCACGAAAGUGUGGGGAUCAAACAGG